AUAGAAUAAAGAUGGAUAAAACUCAAAACUACAAUACAAAAAGUAGCCGCAGAGGUAUGUGGGAAAAAGAGAAGCAGCCUAAGACUUAUAAUAACAUGAUUUUGGGAUGAGGAGGUGCAACAGGAAGUCAAAGAAAAAACAAAGGUAUCUACAGACGAAAAGAGAAGAAGAUAGAUAGAACUACAUAAACAGGAGGAACGAAGCAAAGAGUAAAAGGGUAUAUAUUAUAGCGAGGGAAGAGGUUAAGGUGGAUUUAAUAAGGGCGGAGGCUGGGAGAAGAGCAGUGAAAUACGAGGAAUUAUCCACAUUGCAGAAUCCCGGGAGAAAUCAAGGAGAGAAUGUUGAUAUUGUCGGAGAGUGGGAUAUUCAAUAACUGGGAUCGGCUAUAGAAGGUUGGAGAGAGGUGAAAUAUAGAAAGAACUGAGGGAUAGAGACAGGGACAUACAGAGGCAGGAGUGAAGGUCCUGGAGAUAUACGGGAAGGGAGAUAUAAUGUAAGAUAUGGGGACAUAAAGGAACUGUCAAAGUAUUUGUUGAUGGAAUGGGAAGAAGAAAGGAAGAGAUUGGUGGCCAGAUUCCGCUGUGGCAAUGAAGAGAGAGGGAACAGAUACUGGACGGACGAUAUGGAGAGGCGGUGUAGGCUGUGUGGAGAGGAUUAGGAGACACUGGAACACAUGCUGAGAAGGUGUAGUGAGCUGAAGGAGAAGGCGAUGGACUGGAGGCAGAUUUUGAGGGUGAGGGCAAGAGAUGGAUGAGGGAGGUGAUUGGGGCGAGGAGCCGGGGGUGUGAAUAUAGAGAGCUGGAGGGUAGAGGGUGAAAAUCAGUAUUGGAAAUAUGGGAAUAGAGGAAAGCAAAAUACUGAACACCUGGAGUAAAUAUUGCCAAGGUACCAUCAUCAUCGAACUACCGGAAAAAUAUCGAAUAUGGAAUUAGUUAUGCCGGAGAAGAGUAGAGCAAAUCUAGUCUUUUCAAGACUUAAUCACAAGGCGCAUUUAAGCAGCUUAUAGAUGAAUUGAAGAAACCACCUGGAUUGUUUUUGAAGCGCCAAUGAUUUAUCUUUACGUGGGAAAGACAAAAAAAUCCGCUGAUGAAAUUGGCUAAAUAAUGAAGGACUCUGAAGGAAAUACAUUUUUUCAACCAAGACUAAAAGUAGGAUUUUACCAAACUCACAACAGUGUGGGAUAUAAAGCAUCAGUGCAAACUUUAUCAUCGCCAAGAUGGAAAGCAGAUGGAGUUUUAAUCAUUUUCAUUGGCUAUGAGUUAUUUGACAGCUUUUUUGACAUUUUUGAUUUGACCUUGGUUUAUACAUUAUUACCAACUUAAAAAUUUUUUCGUUAUUAUAAUUGUGGAGGGAUCUUUUGUUUGAUGAUGCCCUGCUAUCUUUGUUCAUUAAUGCUUGGAUAAGCUGAUGACAUUAAAUUGUCAGAAAGAAAUAUCUAGAGCAUAUUUUGAGAAAAAUAAUAUCAUCAGUUUUAGCAUUCUAUCAUUUCUAUUAUCUUUUAGCUCUCGGUUGUUGUUUCCCCAGAUGACCUUGAAAGUGGCUAAAUAACUGCUAACAUGUUAUUUUGAACUACUGCAGAAUUGUACCACAUGUAUUCGUAUGUUACAAGUACGACCUCAUCAACCGAUCAACCUACUCCACAGUUAUGGAAGACAUGCUGAAUCUACUACUACUAAA